AGUCCAGGUCCACGGGCCUAUAGAGAUCCCAGAAAAUGAAGAUGUUACUUUUUGUUUUCCUGUUCAUUAUAAAAAGGGUGGAAAGGUUCCUCUGAAGUUCAGUUACGUUGUUUUAAUGAUAUGAAUGAUUUGGUGGGGCAGACAAUCAGAAGUGGAAACUGAAUUCAAUAAUGUUACUGAGUCCUACUCUGGGCAAGUAGAUUAGAGACCACACAUGCAGGCUUGAAAACAUUUAAAUUUCAAAAUCUUGUUAUGUAAGGGGACACAAAACAAUGUAAAAGAUGUGAGGCCACACUCCCAGCUGGCAUAGAUCAGUGCAGCACCAUGGAUUUCAGGGUAGCAACACCAAUUUCUGCUGUUUGAGGUCCUGGCCUUUAAUCUGUCAUCAAUCUAAUAAAAUCGAGCUGCUCUAAUUACCACCAUGUCAGUCAGAAAUAUGUUUGCCUGAAAUGAUGAAGCUGAGCUGGAUCCUGGAGCCCACACAAGUCAGCAAGCACUGUGCAAAUCUGAGUUAAACCAUUUGUUUGCCCACUUAAGGAGAGGUUGUCCACGGUCAUGGUAUGUGUGGAAAGACAGCGGGGGAGUGAGAGGAACAACUGAAACAUAUGGCCCAAGUGAGCUUUCUCUUUAUUCCAAAGCACCAGGAUAAGACAAGCUGUUGAACCGAUGAGAAACCUUCCUCAUACACCAUAUUUCAAGAUUAAAACUGGGAGAAAUUCAGCACCAGUGAUCUCACAUCCAUGCUUGACUAAAGGUAUAGAAAACCAUUAAACUGAAAGCAGAGGAAAAAAAAAAGCCCCCAGGCCCAACCUCCCCUAAUCCAUAAUAGCUGCAUCAUUAUGUAAAAGAAAACAGCAAUUUCCCCACCAAUGUGCCCAUAAAUGGAAACCUUAUCAAUACCUCCACAUGCUCCCUGGCUUUAUGGCACUAUUAAGUUUAAUUGCACUGAUAUAAUGGAUUUUUAUGGAACAAUGUCUUUUCAGAAUCAGGUUUGGGGAGCGUGCAGGCACAGGAGAGGGGUCACACACAUUGAGACAUGCUCUUUACUGCACCUGAACUUAAUUUUGACCUCGUGUUUCUUGAAGAAAAAUGUGGAAGUGGCAUUUCUGACACUUUUUUGCCGUG